rnacentral:rRNA from 1 species
UACGGGGGGAGCAAGCGUUGUUCGGAUUUACUGGGCGUAAAGGGCGCGUAGGCGGCCUUGUAAGUCCUGUGUGAAAUCCCCCGGCUCAACUGGGGAACUGCACAGGAGACUGCUUGGCUUGAGUUCGGGAGAGGGAAGCGGAAUUCCGGGUGUAGCGGUGAAAUGCGUAGAUAUCCGGAGGAACACCGGUGGCGAAGGCGGCUUCCCGGACCGACACUGACGCUGAGGCGCGAAAGCCAGGGAGCAAACGGG